rnacentral:rRNA from 1 species
GUGCUGCAUGGCUGUCGUCAGCUCGUGUUGUGAAAUGUUGGGUUAAGUCCCGCAACGAGCGCAACCCUUAUCCUUGUUUGCCAGCGAGUAAUGUCGGGAACUCCAGGGAGACUGCCGGUGAUAAACCGGAGGAAGGUGGGGACGACGUCAAGUCAUCAUGGCCCUUACGAGUAGGGCUACACACGUGCUACAAUGGCGCAUACAGAGGGCGGCCAACUUGCGAAAGUGAGCGAAUCCCAAAAAGUGCGUCGUAGUCCGGAUUGGAGUCUGCAACUCGACUCCAUGAAGUCGGAAUCGCUAGUAAUCGUGGAUCAGAAUGCCACGGUGAAUACGUUCCCGGGCCUUGUACACACCGCCCGUCACACCAUGGGAGUGGGCUGCAAAAGAAGUGGGUAGUUUAACCUUCGGGAGGACGCUCACCACUUUGUGGUUCAUGACUGGGGUGAAGUCGUAACAAGGUAGCGCUAGGGGAACCUGGCGCUGGAUCACCUCCUUAUACGAUGAU